GACGUAGGUGGCGAACGUUAUCCGGAAUUAUUGGGCGUAAAGGAUGCGUAGGUGGUGUAGUAAGUUAUCGGUGGUAAAUCGAGGCUCAACCUCGUGGAAGUCGGUAAUACUGCUAUGCUAGAGGAUAGGAGAGGUUAACGGAACUCCCUGUGGAGCGGUGAAAUGCGUAGAUAUAGGGAAGAACACCAAUAAGGCGAAGGCAGUUAACUAUUCUACUCCUGACAUUGAGGCAUGAAAGCGUGGGGAGCAAAACGG
rnacentral:rRNA from 1 species